CGCUCUCUUCUGCCUCCUUGGCGGUGACUGGAAAGAGGUGAAGCUUUCGAAAUGAGAACAUCCUCUUCAUGCCAGAGUAAUGUCAAAGUGCUUACAGUGCAGAUACUGUGCCACAGCAGCUGAAACAAUCGGACGUUUUCCAGUCCAGUUUUUCAAAGCACCCACCAAAACACAUUACAUGGGAGCAGUGGCACAUGCUUGGCAGCCUUCCUAUUUCAAGAAUGAGGAAAGAAUGUCAGGAUAGGGGUAUGAAAUAUCCUCUCGUUCUUUGAUAUGGCUGUUAGAAGCCACUGCCUCAGCACAUGGGUUCAUAAGAUUUAGCCAAUAAUUACAUGCUGUGUGAUAUUUGCAUGGAUAUAAUUAAAUUCCAUAAUUUAUGCAUUACGUAAUAUAUGCAGAAAAAGUGCUUUAACUUUUGGUUACAAGCUUCAUGAAAAAUUAAUAACUUGCAAAUA